rnacentral:rRNA from 1 species
AUCAAAAACAUGUCCUUUGGGGAAAAAUAAGAGGUCUAAUCUGCUCAAUGAAAAAUUAAAUAGCUGCAGAAAUUUAACUGUACUAAGGUAGCAUAAUAAUUAGUUUAUUAAUUGUAAACUGGAAUGAAUGAUUUAAUAAAAUAUUAACUGUCUCUAAAAUAAAAAGAUAAUUUUAUUUUUAAGUAAAAAAGCUUAAAUAAUGUUAGGGGACGAGAAGACCCCAUAGAUUUUUAUAAAAAUAUUUUUUUAUUAAAAAAUAUGUUUAUUUAAAUGGGGAAUUUUUAAAAUGAAAUAAUUUUUAAAAGUGAAAUACAUAUAUGAAUGAGAAAGUGAAUUAUAAUAAUUUAUUUAAGAUAAAAAUACCUUGGGGAUAACAGCAUAAUAAUAUUUUAAAGAUCUUAUUUUUUAUAUUGGUGGGACCUCGAUGUUGA